UUAAAUGGCCGCGGUACCCUAACCGUGCAAAGGUAGCGUAAUCACUUGUCUACUAAAUAUAGACCUGUAUGAACGGCACCACGAGGGCCACACUGUCUCCCCCCUUUAAUCAGUAAAACUGAUCCCCCCGUGAAGAAGCGGGGAUUCAAAUACAAGACGAGAAGACCCCAUGGAGCUUUAAACCAAGAGUCAACUGCUAAAUUUUAUAUCAUAAAUACCACAAUUAUGACUCAAAGUUUUCGGUUGGGGCGACCGCGGAGCAUAACAAAACCUCCACGAUGAAAGAACAUGAAAUUCUUACCCAAGAACCACACCACAAAGGACCACAAAUGUGACAUCCAUUGACCCAAAAGCUUGAUCAACGAACCUAGUUACCCUGGGGAUAACAGCGCAAUCCAUUUCAAGAGCCCAUAUCGACAAAUGGGUUUACGACCUCGA
rnacentral:rRNA from 1 species